AAGUCGUAACAAGGUUUCCGUAGGUGAACCUGCGGAAGGAUCAUCAUCGAUUCUAAAGAAGAUGUGCUGGCUUAAUUGCAUGUGCACUCUGAUUUACCUUCAACACUUGUGCACUAUUUUGUAGGCAUGAAGAAAGAGUUUAAUUCAAGUAUUUGUGUCUAUGACUUUUAAUACACUCUUAACUUGUAAAAGAAUGUUCAAGUAGACUUGUUUUAAAGUCGAAACUUAAUACAACUUUCAACAACGGAUCUCUUGGUUCUC
rnacentral:misc_RNA from 1 species